UCCCCCAGGAGACCGUUGCAGUUGGCCGUCCCCUGCUCCUCGGUAACCAUGUGCGACCGAAAGGCCGUGAUCAAAAACGCCGAUAUGUCGGAGGAGAUGCAAUAGGACUCGGUGGAGUGUGCGACUCAGGCGUUGGAGAAAUACAACAUAGAGAAGGACAUUGCGGCCCAUAUUAAAAAGGAGUUUGAUAAGAAGUACAACCCCACCUGGCACUGCAUCGUGGGGAGGAACUUCGGUAGUUACGUGACACAUGAAACCAAACACUUCAUCUACUUCUACCUGGGCCAAGUGGCCAUUCUUCUGUUCAAAUCUGGUUAAAAGCAUGGACUGUGUCACACACCCAGUGAUCCAUCCAAAACCAAGGACUGCAGCCUAAAUUCCAAAUACCAGAGACUGAAAUCUUCAGCCUUGCCUAGGGGAACACCUCGAUCUUUGAACCUUUAUUGUGUUGUUUUGUACAGGGCAUUCUCUGUACAAAUUUGUUGUGGUUAUAAAACAAUUAGCAAAACAGCUUA